rnacentral:rRNA from 1 species
GAUGAACGCUGGCGGUCUGCUUAACACAUGCAAGUCGAACGCAACCUUCGGGUUGAGUGGCGGACGGGUGAGUAACGCGUGAGAAUCUGCCUUGGGGUCGGGGACAACCACUGGAAACGGUGGCUAAUACCGGAUAAGCCUUUGGGUAAAAAAUUUAUUGCCCCAAGAGGAGCUCGCGUCUGAUUAGCUAGUUGGUGAGGUAAAAGCUCACCAAGGCAGCGAUCAGUAGCUGGUCUGAGAGGACGAUCAGCCACACUGGGACUGAGACACGGCCCAGACUCCUACGGGAGGCAGCAGUGGGGAAUUUUCCGCAAUGGGCGAAAGCCUGACGGAGCAAGACCGCGUGAGGGAGGAAGGCUCUUGGGUUGUAAACCUCUUUUCUCAGGGAAGAAGCUCUGACGGUACCUGAGGAAUCAGCCUCGGNUAACUCCGUGCCCAGCAGCCGCGGUAAUACGGAGGAGGCAAGCGUUAUCCGGAAUUAUUGGGCGUAAAGCGUCCGCAGGUGGCGAUUCAAGGUCUUGCUGUCAAAGCAC